GGCCCCGGCCGCAACUGGCGAGGGUGGGGCACCACCGGGGAGCGGCCGGCCGGACAUCGGUAUCCCAAAACGGGACGUCGCCCGCCUGGGCGUCCCGC
rfam:Actinomyces glycerinitolerans isolate G10_assembly1 genome assembly, contig: scaffold_01